rnacentral:rRNA from 1 species
UACGGAGGGGGCUAGCGUUGUUCGGAAUUACUGGGCGUAAAGCGCACGUAGGCGGCUUUGUAAGUUAGAGGUGAAAGCCCGGGGCUCAACUCCGGAAUUGCCUUUAAGACUGCAUCGCUAGAAUUGUGGAGAGGUAAGUGGAAUUCCGAGUGUAGAGGUGAAAUUCGUAGAUAUUCGGAAGAACACCAGUGGCGAAGGCGACUUACUGGACACAUAUUGACGCUGAGGCGCGAAAGCUAGGGGAGCAAACGGG